CUUUGGUUUUAUUGUUCUGUGGAAAAGAACAUUUUCUCUGAUACUUUAAGUUUGAAGAAUCAGUGCAUAUUUUAAUGCCACAUAUGCAAAAAUAUCUUCCAAAUUUACUUAGAACUUUAGGUAGGAGUAUGACUUUUUGGGGGAGAAGGAUAGAAGAGAAUUCAUUUAAAACAACUAGAAAAUGCAGUCAAUAAUCAAGAAUAUAUGUUCUUCAAAAAAAAAUUCACUAGAACCUGGGAAUUUUCAUUGUUAUUCAAUCAACCUCCUAAUAUGGGCAUAAACUCCAGUGGCUUGGACUCUGAAGCAUGAUUCCUCAAAAUAAAGCAAACAGUUCCUCAUGACUUUAUAGAGUGAUUAAGCCAUUGGAAAUGCGUUGCACAAAAAGCGCCAUGCAGCACAACAUAGAAAAGAGCUCCAGUUAAUGUAACAUGUGGAGAAAGACAGUGUGGGUAUGCACUUAACUGUUUGGAGAAGCUCCUUAACUUUAAAAUCACGUAUUGAAACUAGGAUAUGUAAAAACUUCGAAUGAACUUCAAAUGAAGAAUAAUGACAUAAAUUAAUUAGGGCUGGAUAAAGAAUAAAAUACCACUUAUUUAAAAUGCAUGUACUAAGAAUUCAGAGGAGCAGAUAGGUUACACAUCUGAGGUGUGUUUCUUCAGGUUUCAAGAAAGCACUCUAUUUAGAAAUCAGUAGCAUGUUUUGGUUACAUUUGCAGAAUGGCAAUCCACUGUUUUCUUUUUUAAUUUGAUUGUGAUUCUAAUGUUUGCUAUGUCAAAGAGACUCUCAAGUGUUUUAAAAAUCCUUUUAUACAAACGUUUCUUUAUUUGGCUCUUAAUGUAGACCCAAUCAAACGAAAGAGCACUGAAUUUUGGGAAAGAAAAAAUUAAAAUAGAAUGUCAGUCUAAAUUAUUUUAAAUCUGUUGUGCUUAUCAAAUAUUUUUUAUUGAUUUAUAUGAUUUUUAGGCAUCAAUAUGGCAUUUCACAUGUAUACUACUGUUGAAAUUUUAUAUUAUAUUGCAACAUACUUGCAUAUUAUUUUAAUAAUAUGAGGAAAGAAUAAGACAGGUGAUUUACUAUGAGUUAGUUUUCUUAUUUUGUGUAAAGAGGAACUUUACGAAGGCCAAUUUUUUUCCACAGAAACUUCUUCCUUUAAGUAGAUACAGCUUGUCUGAAG
rnacentral:lncRNA from 1 species